UAUACCGUGAAACUGCGAAUGGCUCAUUAAAUCAGUUAUCGUUUAUUUGAUAGUACCUUACUACUUGGAUAACCGUGGUAAUUCUAGAGCUAAUACAUGCUGAAAACCCCAACUUCGGAAGGGGUGUAUUUAUUAGAUAAAAAACCAACGCCCUUCGGGGCUUCUUGGUGAUUCAUAAUAACUUUACGGAUCGCAUGGCCUUGCGCCGGCGACGGUUCAUUCAAAUUUCUGCCCUAUCAACUUUCGAUGGUAAGGUAUUGGCUUACCAUGGUUUCAACGGGUAACGGGGAAUUAGGGUUCGAUUCCGGAGAGGGAGCCUGAGAAACGGCUACCACAUCCAAGGAAGGCAGCAGGCGCGCAAAUUACCCAAUCCCGACACGGGGAGGUAGUGACAAUAAAUACUGAUACAGGGCUCUUUUGGGUCUUGUAAUUGGAAUGAGUACAAUUUAAACCUCUUAACGAGGAACAAUUGGAGGGCAAGUCUGGUGCCAGCAGCCGCGGUAAUUCCAGCUCCAAUAGCGUAUAUUAAAGUUGUUGCAGUUAAAAAGCUCGUAGUUGAAACUUGGGUCUGGCUGGCAGGUCCGCCUCACCGCGUGUACUUGUCCGGCCGGGCCUUCCUUCUGGAGAACCUCAUGCCCUUCACUGGGCGUGUUGGGGACCAGGACUUUUACUUUGAAAAAAUUAGAGUGUUCAAAGCAGGCCUUUGCUCGAAUACGUUAGCAUGGAAUAAUAGAAUAGGACGUGCGUUCCUAUUUUGUUGGUUUCUAGGAACGCCGUAAUGAUUAAUAGGGACAGUCGGGGGCAUCAGUAUUCAAUUGUCAGAGGUGAAAUUCUUGGAUUUAUUGAAGACUAACUACUGCGAAAGCAUUUGCCAAGGAUGUUUUCAUUAAUCAGUGAACGAAAGUUAGGGGAUCGAAGACGAUCAGAUACCGUCGUAGUCUUAACCGUAAACUAUGCCGACUAGGGAUCGGGCGAUGUUCUUUUUCUGACUCGCUCGGCACCUUACGAGAAAUCAAAGUU
rnacentral:rRNA from 1 species